rnacentral:rRNA from 1 species
AAUAGAUACCCAGGUAGUCCACGCCAUAAACGAUGAGGACUAGACGUUGGAGGGGUAAGCCUUUCAGUGUCGCAGCUAACGCGCUAAGUCCUCCGCCUGGGGAGUACGGCCGCAAGGUUGAAACUCAAAAGAAUUGACGGGGACCCGCACAAGCGGUGGAGCAUGUGGUUUAAUUCGAUGCAACGCGAAGAACCUUACCUGGUCUUGACAUCCAUGGAACCCUGCAGAGAUGCGGGGGUGCCGUAAGGAACCAUGAGACAGGUGCUGCAUGGCUGUCGUCAGCUCGUGUCGUGAGAUGUUGGGUUAAGUCCCGCAACGAGCGCAACCCUUGUCCUUAGUUGCCAUCAUUUAGUUGGGAACUCUAAGGAGACCGCCGGUGGCAAACCGGAGGAAGGUGGGAUGACGUCAAGUCAUCAUGGCCUUUAUGACCAGGGCUACACACGUGCUACAAUGGUAGAUACAGAGGGAAGCCAACGCGCGAGCGGGAGCUAAUCCCAGAAAAUCUAUCGUAGUCCGGA